rnacentral:rRNA from 1 species
UACGAAGGGGGCUAGCGUUGCUCGGAAUCACUGGGCGUAAAGCGCACGUAGGCGGAUUGUUAAGUCAGGGGUGAAAUCCUGGAGCUCAACUCCAGAACUGCCUUUGAUACUGGCGAUCUUGAGUCCGGGAGAGGUGAGUGGAACUGCGAGUGUAGAGGUGAAAUUCGUAGAUAUUCGCAAGAACACCGGUGGCGAAGGCGGUUCUCUGGGCCUGUUCUGACGCUGAGGAGCGAAAGCGUGGGGAGCGAACAGG